rnacentral:misc_RNA from 1 species
GAUGAAGAACGUAGUGAAAUGCGAUAAGUAGUGUGAAUUGCAGAAUUCAGUGAAUCAUCGAAUCUUUGAACGCACAUUGCGCCCGCCAGUAUUCUGGCGGGCAUGCCUGUCUGAGCGUCAUUUCAACCCUCAAGCUCUGCUUGGUAUUGGGCUCCGUCCUCCUCGGACGCGCCUCAAAGACCUCGGCGGUGGCGUCUUGCCUCAAGCGUAGUAGAAACACCUCGCUUUGGAGUGCAUGGCGUCGCCCGCCGGACGAAACCUUUUGUAUUUUCUCAAGGUUGACCUCGGAUCAGGUAGGGAUACCCGCUGAACUUAAGCAUAUCAAUAAGCGGAGGA